UACGUAGGGGGCAAGCGUUAUCCGGAUUUACUGGGUGUAAAGGAAGCGUAGACGGCAUUGCAAGUCCGGAGUGAAAGCCCACGGCCCAACCGUGGGACUGCUCUGGAAACUGUAGAGCUGGAGUGCGGGAGGGGCAGGCGGAAUUCCUAGUGUAGCGGUGAAAUGCGUAGAUAUUAGGAGGAACACCGGCGGCGAAGGCGGCCUGCUGGACCGUAACUGACGUUGAGGCUCGAAAGCGUGGGGAGCAAACAGG
rnacentral:rRNA from 1 species